GAUGAACGCUGGCGGCGUGCCUAAUACAUGCGAGUCGAGCGGACGGACGAGAAGCUUGCUUUUCUGAUGUUAGCGGCGGACGGGUGAGUAACACGUGGAUAACCUACCUAUAAGACUGGGAUAACUUCGGGAAACCGGAGCUAAUACCGGAUAAUAUUUUGAACCGCAUGGUUCAAAAGUGAAAGACGGUCUUGCUGUCACUUAUAGAUGGAUCCGCGCUGCAUUAGCUAGUUGGUAAGGUAACGGCUUACCAAGGCAACGAUGCAUAGCCGACCUGAGAGGGUGAUCGGCCACACUGGAACUGAGGCACGGUCCAGACUCCUACGGGAGGCAGCAGUAGGGAAUCUUCCGCAAUGGGCGAAAGCCUGACGGAGCAACGCCGCGUGAGUGAUGAAGGUCUUCGGAUCGUAAAACUCUGUUAUUAGGGAAGAACAUAUGUGUAAGUAACUGUGCACAUCUUGACGGUACCUAAUCAGAAAGCCACGGCUAACUACGUG
rnacentral:rRNA from 1 species